rfam:Eutrema salsugineum unplaced genomic scaffold scaffold_3, whole genome shotgun sequence.
AUUAGCUUAUGUGCUUGUAGUCUGAAUAACUCAGUAAUUAGAUGUGUUAACAUCAGCUUUAUCUCUGGUUUGGACCUUGGGAUUUGAGUUAAACUAUAAAACACCAAAUUA